rnacentral:rRNA from 1 species
UUUAAAAGUCUGGCCUGCCCACUGAGUUAUUUAAAGGGCCGCAGUAAUUUGACUGUGCAAAGGUAGCAUAAUCACUAGCUUUUUAAUUGAAAGCUGGAAUGAACGGUUAGAUGAGAAAUAAACUGUCUCUCUUUUAUUUUGUAGAAAUUAACUUUUAAGUGAAAAGGCUUAAAUAUUUCAAAGGGACGAUAAGACCCUGUAAAACUUAAUAUUUUAUUCUCGAUAAACCCUAAAGUUAAAGUUUGAAUUGUUUAUUGAUAUUGAUAUUUUGUUGGGGAGACAAAGAUAUAAUUUUUAACUGUCUAUUUAAAUGUUAUAUUUAUUUAUAUUUUAAGAUCCUCUAUUAGGGAUUACAAGAAAAAGUUACUUCAGGGAUAACAGCGUAAUUUUCUUUUAGAGUUCUUAUCGACAAGAAUAGUUGCGACCUCGAUGUUGAAUUAAGGUUUCAGAAGGGUGUAGCUGCUUUUCUAGUGGGUCUGUUCGACCUUUAAAAUCUU